UACGGAGGGGGCUAGCGUUAUUCGGAAUUACUGGGCGUAAAGCGCACGUAGGCGGCUUUGUAAGUAAGAGGUGAAAGCCCGGAGCUCAACUCCGGAACUGCCUUUUAGACUGCAUCGCUUGAAUCCAGGAGAGGUGAGUGGAAUUCCGAGUGUAGAGGUGAAAUUCGUAGAUAUUCGGAAGAACACCAGUGGCGAAGGCGGCUCACUGGACUGGUAUUGACGCUGAGGUGCGAAAGCGUGGGGAGCGAUCCGG
rnacentral:rRNA from 1 species